rnacentral:rRNA from 1 species
CUUGAGAGUCUCCUGAAGGAACGUUGAAGACGACGACGUUGAUAGGCCGGGUGUGUAAGCGCAGCGAUGCGUUGAGCUAACCGGUACUAAUGAACCGUGAGGCUUAACCUUAC